GAUGAACGCUAGCGGCAGGCCUAACACAUGCAAGUCGAGGGAGAAGCCCUUUCGGGGGCAGAAACCGGCGCACGGGUGCGUAACGCGUAUGCAACCUACCUUUCACAGGGGGAUAGCCCGAAGAAAUUUGGAUUAAUACCCCAUAAUAUUAUUGGAUGGCAUCAUUUGAUAAUUAAAACUGCGGUGGUGAAAGAUGGGCAUGCGUCCUAUUAGCUAGUUGGAGUGGUAACGGCACCCCAAGGCUACGAUAGGUAGGGGUCCUGAGAGGGAGAUCCCCCACACUGGUACUGAGACAGGGACCAGACUCCUACGGGAGGCAGCAGUGAGGAAUAUUGGUCAAUGGUCGGGAGACUGAACCAGCCAUGCCGCGUGCAGGAAGAAUGCCUUAUGGGUUGUAAACUGCUUUUAUAUGGGAAGAAUAAGGCGUACGUGUACGUUGAUGACGGUACCAUAUGAAUAAGCAUCGGCUAACUCCGUG
rnacentral:rRNA from 1 species